rnacentral:rRNA from 1 species
CAAUAGCGUAUAUUAAAGUUGUUGCAGUUAAAAAGUUCGUAGUUGGAUUUCUGGUGGGAGCGAUCGGUCUGGCGCUUAGCGCGAGUACUUGCAUCGUCUCCGGCCAUCCUUGGGGAGAGUCUGUCUGGCAUUAAGUUGUCGGGCAGAGGAUCCUCAUCGUUUACUGUGAAAAAAUUAGAGUGUUCAAAGCAGGCUUAUGCCGUUGAAUAUAUUAGCAUGGAAUAAUAAGAUAGGACUUUGGUACUAUUUUGUUGGUUUGCGCACCAAAGUAAUGAUUAAUAGGGACAGUUGGGGGUAUUCGUAUUCCGUUGUCAGAGGUGAAAUUCUUGGAUUUACGGAAGACGAACUACUGCGAAAGCAUUUACCAAGGAUGUUUUCAUUAA